rnacentral:rRNA from 1 species
UUUAUCGGAGAGUUUGAUCCUGGCUCAGGACGAACGCUGGCGGCGUGCCUAAUACAUGCAAGUCGAGCGGACAGAUGGGAGCUUGCUCCCUGAUGUUAGCGGCGGACGGGUGAGUAACACGUGGGUAACCUGCCUGUAAGACUGGGAUAACUCCGGGAAACCGGGGCUAAUACCGGAUGCUUGUUUGAACCGCAUGGUUCAAACAUAAAAGGUGGCUUCGGCUA